rnacentral:rRNA from 1 species
UUAAACUGCGAAUGGCUCAUUAAAACAGUUAUAGUUUAUUUGAUACAUUAAAUGGAUAACUGUAGAAAAACUAGAGGUAAUACAUGCCAAAGCCUCACGGUUGUAUUUAUUAGAUAUUCCAAUUAGGUGAAUCAUAAUAACUUCGCAAAUCUCGUUUUUGCCGAGAUAAAUCAUCCAAGUUUCUGCCCUAUCAUGCUUUCGAUGGUAGUGUAUUGGACUACCACCCGCCCCCACGGGUAACAGGGAAUUAGGGUUCGAUUCUGGAGAAGGAGCCUGAGAAACGGCUACUACAUCUACGGAAGGCAGCAGGCGCGUAAAUUACCCAAUCCUGACUCAGGGAGGUGGUGACAAGAUAUAACAACGCAAUUUCAUUGUGAUUGUAGUGAGGGUAUUCCAAACCGAACCACUAGUACGAUUAGAGGGCAAGUCUGGUGCCAGCAGCCGCGGUAAUUCCAGCUCUAAUAGCGUAUAUUAAAGUUGCUGCAGUUAAAAGCUCGUAGUUGGAUUUCAGGAUUGUGUACUC